UGAUUAACUUAUACUUGCGCGAUGUCGUCCAGAUGUCACUGAAGAACCGAUCGUGUGUUAACAGGUGCUUUUAAUUCAGCCGUACCAGGCACUUCCACCUGCUGUUGGGUCCUCGCUGUUGAAUUUGAAGGAUUAUCGACAGACAGUGACUAACAGACUCUGUUGGUCAAACAAGAAGGAGCAAAACUUACAAGAGCAAGUGCAGUCAUGAUGGGAAAUUUUCGUUAAUCACAAAUCCCGCUGAAGCAGAAGUUCAAACAAGAGCAAUUCGAUUUUACGCGAUUUUUCCUUCUUCGGUGUGGAUACGAUUUUUUAAC